CAUCGACUGCUGCUGCUUUGGGUUUAGAAGACGGCACGCUUCUGCUGGAUGGUAAAGAUGUAAACCAACAACAUUGUCAGAAUGAAGUUCAAAGAAAUAUAUUUUUUUCUUCAAAACCUUUUACAUUUCAAAUGUUUUGGGAACGUG